GUGUGUAGAUUAAACAUGAACGGGCCAAAACGGACAUGGCAGCAGGUCAAAAUCAAAUACAAGAACAUUCUGCAGAAUGCAGUGAAAAAGAAUACCCACAGACAAGGCACGGGUGGUGGGUCACCAAAGGCUGACCUUAUGUCAGCAGAGGACAUGGCCUUGGAGCUAAAUAAAGGCAGGCCCGUCUUAGAGGGGAUCCCUGGGGGAAAGAGACGAGCAUAGGUUCCUCCCAAGAUGCCACCCGCUUCAUUCAAGUGCCUGGCAGCACUGUGUUCCUGUUAGAGCCACCAGCACAAGCACCAGACGAUGCUGAUCCAGUGAGUACUCCAUCAAAGGCAUACUGUAGGCCUGGCAUGUCUUGUCUACUAGCUUCAAUAUGAAUGAUUAAAUGUGAUGGGGUGAAGGCCCCAGUGCAGCAGCAA